UACGUAGGGCGCAAGCGUUUGUCCGGAUUUAUUGGGCGUAAAGAGCUCGUAGGCGGUUUGUCGCGUCUUCCGUGAAACUGGGGCUUAACUUCCAGCUUGCGGUGGAUACGGGCUGACUGGAGUGCGGCAGGGAGACUGGAAUUCCUGGUGUAGCGGUGAAAUGCGCAGAUAUCAGGAGGAACACCGGUGGCGAAGGCGGGUCUCUGGGCCGAAAUUGACGCUGAGGAGCGAAAGCGUGGGGAGCAAACAGG
rnacentral:rRNA from 1 species